rnacentral:rRNA from 1 species
CUGGCGGCGUGCAUAACACAUCAAGUCGAACGAAGCAAUGAAACGGAAGCCUUCGGGCGGAAGGUUCAUUGACUUAGUGGCGGACGGGUGAGUAACGCGUGAGCAACCUGCCUGUGAUAGAGGGAUAACACAUGGAAACGUGUGCUAAUACCACAUGAAGCGGAGAUAUCGCAUGGUAAUUCCGUUAAAGAUUUAUCGAUCGCAGAUGGGCUCGCGUAUGAUUAGGCAGUUGGUGAGGCAACGGCUCACCAAACCGACGAUCAUUAGCCGAACUGAGAGGUUGAACGGCCACAUUGGAACUGAGAAACGGUCCAGACUCCUACGGGAGGCAGCAGUGGGGAAUAUUGGGCAAUGGGCGAAAGCCUGAACCCCCAGCGACGCCGCGUGAGGGAAGAAGGUCUUCGGAUUGUAAACCUCUUUCAGUAGGGAAGAAGCAAGUGACGGUACCUACAGAAGAAGUCACGGCUAACUACGUGCCAGCAGCAGC